CUGUUAAAAUGGGGCGGUAAUGCGUAAGCAUUUAGGGGUUGUACUGUACAACCCUCCGCCGGCGGUAAUACUCCCUGUGAGUAUUGCGUCUGCACCCUUGUCUAUGCGUACUAUAUGUUGUUCCCUCGGCUGGGGGUUUACUCUCCAGCCGCUGGGCCUAUCCUUCAACUCUUAUUACUAGCAGUAUACGUGUCUGAAUAUGUGGGCAAUACCUAAUACUAUAA
rnacentral:misc_RNA from 1 species